rnacentral:rRNA from 1 species
UAGGGAAUAUUGGGCAAUGGGCGGAAGCCUGACCCAGCCAUGCCGCGUGUGCGAAGAAGGCCCUCGGGUCGUAAAGCACUUUUAUUCGGGAAGACACGCCCUGUGCGCAGGGCUAUGACGGUACCGAAGGAAUAAGCACCGGCUAACUCCGUGCCAGCAGCCGCGGUAAUACGGAGGGUGCAAGCGUUGUCCGGAUUUAUUGGGUUUAAAGGGUGCGUAGGCGGCCGAUUAAGUCAGGGGUGAAAUACCGCGGCUCAACCGCGGGGCUGCCCCUGAUACUGUUCGGCUUGGUGCCAUGGAGGGCAGGCGGAAUUUGCGGUGUAGCGGUGAAAUGCAUAGAUACCGCAAGGAAUGCCGGAUGCGAAGGCGGCCUGCUGCCAUGGAUACGACGCUGAUGCACGAAAGUGCGGGGAUCGAACAGG